UACGUAGGGUGCAAGCGUUAAUCGGAAUUACUGGGCGUAAAGCGUGCGCAGGCGGUUUUGUAAGACAGAGGUGAAAUCCCCGGGCUCAACCUGGGAACGGCCUUUGUGACUGCAAAGCUAGAGUGCGGCAGAGGGGGAUGGAAUUCCGCGUGUAGCAGUGAAAUGCGUAGAUAUGCGGAGGAACACCGAUGGCGAAGGCAAUCCCCUGGGCCUGCACUGACGCUCAUGCACGAAAGCGUGGGGAGCAAACAGG
rnacentral:rRNA from 1 species